rnacentral:lncRNA from 10 species
CGCGCUCUGGCGUGAAGGGCCGGUACGUGAGGGGGAGGCCUGGCCCGCGGACCCGGCUCCCAGCUCGGGCAGGAGGGGUCCUCACUCGCUGACCACACUGACCUCAGGACCAAGGGAACAAAACACAGCAGGGGCAAUCCAUCCGGUCCACGGAGAAGUGCUAAACCCCAAAGGGUAAAUGAGAUUCCCACAGGAGGAGCAGGGAGGAGACAACAGGCAGGGUGGAGGGAACAGCAUGAGGAACAGCAUUUGAGCCCAGCGUGUGUGGCCUCCAUGUGCUGAAUGCGUACUGGAUACCAAGCUUGCUCUACGGAGGCCCUGUGAAGGUGGCUGUGGAUCACAGAUAUCCUCAGCUCUCUCCAGAGCUCAACACAGUACCAGAUGCUCCAGAAAUGUUUGCUGAACUGAAUUUGACUGGAAAGGAAAACAGAGCCCCAGGCCUGCGCGGUGGCUCACGUCUAUAAUCCCAGCACUGUGGGAGGCCGAGGCAGACGGAUCACUUGAGGUCAGGAGUUCAAGACCAGCCUGGCCAACAUGGUCCCAGCUGCAGGGCAGCCAUGAGCCUGGUGGCCUGUGAGUGCCU